rnacentral:rRNA from 1 species
UACGUAGGGACCAAGCGUUGUUCGGAUUUACUGGGCGUAAAGGGCGCGUAGGCGGCAAUUCAAGUCAGCUGUGAAAUCUCCGGGCUUAACUCGGAACGGUCAGCUGAUACUGCUUUGCUAGAGUGCAGAAGGGGCAAUCGGAAUUCUUGGUGUAGCGGUGAAAUGCGUAGAUAUCAGGAAGAACACCAAUGGCGAAGGCAGCUCUCUGGGACGGUACUGACGCUGAGACGCGAAAGCGUGGGGAGCGAACAGG